rnacentral:misc_RNA from 1 species
GAUGAAGAACGUAGCGAAACGCGAUAAGUAAUGUGAAUUGCAGAAUCCAGUGAAUCAUCGAAUCUUUGAACGCACAUUGCGCCCGCCAGCAUUCUGGCGGGCAUGCCUGUUCGAGCGUCAUUUCAACCCUCGACCUCCCCUUGGGGAGGUCGGCGUUGGGGACCGGCAGCACACCGCCGGCCCUGAAAUGGAGUGGCGGCCCGUCCGCGGCGACCUCUGCGCAGUAAUACAGCUCGCACCGGGACCCCGACGCGGCCACGCCGUAAAACACCCAACUUCUGAACGUUGACCUCGAAUCAGGUGGGACUACCCGCUGAACUUAAGCAUAUCAAUAAGCGGAGGA